rnacentral:misc_RNA from 1 species
GUAUAUAAGAAUGAAGUCAGUGCUGCAUUUAUUGAUUUUUUCUUUUCCCACUUUUAUCAUACAUCAGAACUCUGUUCGUUCCACCAAAUUCAGAAGAUUCUAAUAAAAUCUCCUGCUAGCUUUUGAAAACUGGUCCAAAACAUAACAGUUAUAUGAAUUUUAACAAGACCAAAUGACUUAAUGCAGCACUGACUUCAUUCUUAUAUAC